CAUAGGUUAAUGAGGCGAACCGGGGGAACUGAAACAUCUAAGUACCCCGAGGAAAAGAAAUCAACCGAGAUUCCCCCAGUAGCGGCGAGCGAACGGGGAGGAGCCCAGAGCCUGAAUCAGUGUGUGUGUUAGUGGAAGCGUCUGGAAAGGCGCGCGAUACAGGGUGACAGCCCCGUACACAAAAAUGCACAUAUUGUGAGCUCGAUGAGUAGGGCGGGACACGUGGUAUCCUGUCUGAAUAUGGGGGGACCAUCCUCCAAGGCUAAAUACUCCUGACUGACCGAUAGUGAACCAGUACCGUGAGGGAAAGGCGAAAAGAACCCCGGCGAGGGGAGUGAAAAAGAACCUGAAACCGUGUACGUACAAGCAGUGGGAGCCUCUUAAUGGGGUGACUGCGUACCUUUUGUAUAAUGGGUCAGCGACUUAUAUUCUGUAGCAAGGUUAACCGAAUAGGGGAGCCGAAGGGAAACCGAGUCUUAACUGGGCGUUAAGUUGCAGGGUAUAGACCCGAAACCCGGUGAUCUAGCCAUGGGCAGGUUGAAGGUUGGGUAACACUAACUGGAGGACCGAACCGACUAAUGUUGAAAAAUUAGCGGAUGACUUGUGGCUGGGGGUGAAAGGCCAAUCAAACCGGGAGAUAGCUGGUUCUCCCCGAAAGCUAUUUAGGUAGCGCCUCGUGAAUUCAUCUCCGGGGGUAGAGCACUGUUUCGGCAAGGGGGUCAUCCCGACUUACCAACCCGAUGCAAACUGCGAAUACCGGAGAAUGUUAUCACGGGAGACACACGGCGGGUGCUAACGUCCGUCGUGAAGAGGGAAACAACCCAGACCGCCAGCUAAGGUCCCAAAGUCAUGGUUAAGUGGGAAACGAUGUGGGAAGGCCCAGACAGCCAGGAUGUUGGCUUAGAAGCAGCCAUCAUUUAAAGAAAGCGUAAUAGCUCACUGGUCGAGUCGGCCUGCGCGGAAGAUGUAACGGGGCUAAACCAUGCACCGAAGCUGCGGCAGCGACACUAUGUGUUGUUGGGUAGGGGAGCGUUCUGUAAGCCUGUGAAGGUGGCCUGUGAGGGUUGCUGGAGGUAUCAGAAGUGCGAAUGCUGACAUAAGUAACGAUAAAGCGGGUGAAAAGCCCGCUCGCCGGAAGACCAAGGGUUCCUGUCCAACGUUAAUCGGGGCAGGGUGAGUCGACCCCUAAGGCGAGGCCGAAAGGCGUAGUCGAUGGGAAACAGGUUAAUAUUCCUGUACUUGGUGUUACUGCGAAGGGGGGACGGAGAAGGCUAUGUUGGCCGGGCGACGGUUGUCCCGGUUUAAGCGUGUAGGCUGGUUUUCCAGGCAAAUCCGGAAAAUCAAGGCUGAGGCGUGAUGACGAGGCACUACGGUGCUGAAGCGACAAAUGCCCUGCUUCCAGGAAAAGCCUCUAAGCAUCAGGUAACAUCAAAUCGUACCCCAAACCGACACAGGUGGUCAGGUAGAGAAUACCAAGGCGCUUGAGAGAACUCGGGUGAAGGAACUAGGCAAAAUGGUGCCGUAACUUCGGGAGAAGGCACGCUGAUAUGUAGGUGAAGCGACUUGCUCGUGGAGCUGAAAUCAGUCGAAGAUACCAGCUGGCUGCAACUGUUUAUUAAAAACACAGCACUGUGCAAACACGAAAGUGGACGUAUACGGUGUGACGCCUGCCCGGUGCCGGAAGGUUAAUUGAUGGGGUUAGCGGUAACGCGAAGCUCUUGAUCGAAGCCCCGGUAAACGGCGGCCGUAACUAUAACGGUCCUAAGGUAGCGAAAUUCCUUGUCGGGUAAGUUCCGACCUGCACGAAUGGCGUAAUGAUGGCCAGGCUGUCUCCACCCGAGACUCAGUGAAAUUGAACUCGCUGUGAAGAUGCAGUGUACCCGCGGCAAGACGGAAAGACCCCGUGAACCUUUACUAUAGCUUGACACUGAACAUUGAGCCUUGAUGUGUAGGAUAGGUGGGAGGCUUUGAAGUGUGGACGCCAGUCUGCAUGGAGCCGACCUUGAAAUACCACCCUUUAAUGUUUGAUGUUCUAACGUGGGCCCCUUACCGGGGUUGCGGACAGUGUCUGGU
rnacentral:rRNA from 1 species